rnacentral:rRNA from 1 species
CACGUAGGGCGCAAGCGUUGUCCGGAAUUAUUGGGCGUAAAGAGCUCGUAGGCGGUCUGCCACGUCCGCUGUGAAAACCUAGGGCUUAACCCUGGGCUUGCAGUAGAUACGGGCAGACUAGAGGUAGGUAGGGGAGAAUGGAAUUCCCGGUGUAGCGGUGAAAUGCGCAGAUAUCGGGAGGAACACCGGUGGCGAAGGCGGUUCUCUGGGCCUUACCUGACGCUGAGGAGCGAAGGCGUGGGGAGCAAACAGG